rnacentral:rRNA from 1 species
GAUGAACGCUGGCGGCGUGCCUAAUACAUGCAAGUCGAGCGAACAGAUGAGGAGCUUGCUCCUCUGACGUUAGCGGCGGACGGGUGAGUAACACGUGGAUAACCUACCUAUAAGACUGGGAUAACUUCGGGAAACCGGAGCUAAUACCGGAUAAUAUAUUGAACCGCAUGGUUCAAUAGUGAAAGACGGUUUUGCUGUCACUUAUAGAUGGAUCCGCGCCGCAUUAGCUAGUUGGUAAGGUAACGGCUUACCAAGGCAACGAUGCGUAGCCGACCUGAGAGGGUGAUCGGCCACACUGGAACUGAAACACGGUCCAGACUCCUACGGGAGGCAGCAGUAGGGAAUCUUACGCAAUGGUCGAAAGCCUUACGGAGCAACGCCGCGCGAGUGAUGAAGGUCUUCGGAUCGUAAAACUCUGUUAUUAGGGAAGAACAAAUGUGUAAGUAACUGUGCACGUCUUGACGGUACCUAAUCAGAAAGCCACGGCUAACUACGUG